CCGAGGUAGCUUAUGGAUCGCAGAUAUUGUCAGGGAUUAUAGUCGGCUUUACUACUCCAAAAACUAUAGGUUUACUGCCUUUGUGCACUUUUGUUUUUUAUGGGCCCACGAGUUACUGUAAAGUAAAUUUCAUAUCCCGGUUAUCUGUAUUAUAGUACAUAUGAAUUUAUUUAGCUUUUACAUUACAAAAAAUUAUUUACCGAUGACUCUAUAAAUAUUGUUUUACAAGAAAUUAGAAUAUUUUAUUGAAUAUUUUUAUUUUAUUCAAAUAGUUGCAAUAUCAUUUUUAAUAAAUAUUUUAGAUAUCCAAAUUUAUUUUAAAUCAUGAAAUAUGUGCUUUCCACUCAUCUACUACAUUUUUAGUCGGGUUCGAAAAAUUUCGAGAAAAAAUGACGUAAACGCCCUUAUGAGGCGAAAUUAUUUUUUCACAGUUUUGAAAGGGAAAAAGCUUAAAAUUCUUUAAAAACGAGGUUUGACGAUGAUUACUCAUAGGGGAGAUGAGAAAAAUGGUACUAAAGCCUUACGGGGUUCCGGUUGGCACUCCGGGUAACGAAUGUCUUCCAGAACGUCGCGGCGGUUGUCACAGGCUCGAGGAGAGUACCGGGUCAUGACAAAUUUCUUCUAAUCUUUUAGACAAAUUCGAUCAUUUUGUUCCCUUUGAUAAUAGAAAUCCCUCAAUUAUUUACCAGAACCCUCCAAAGAUUGAUUGUUUCAGGCCCACUACAACAAUGGUCUGAAUAGGGAAAAGUCUACUAAUUGAGGUUGUAUUUUAUUUCAUUUCAUUCAAUUUGAUUGGUUAAUAAGGUUGUUGGAGUGAUAGGAAAAAAAGCCUAAUGUUUUUUUGUAAUUUUUUAAAGUGAAAAUAGGAAACCAAUUUAAUGAGGGGAAUUGUGUAUCUUAAUUAGUCGCCCUUUUGAGUUAAUAA
rnacentral:lncRNA from 1 species